UGCCAGCAGCCGCGGUAAGACGGAGGAUGCAAGUGUUAUCCGGAAUCACUGGGCGUAAAGCGCAUGUAGGCGGAACAGAAAGUUAGAAGUGAAAUCCCUGGGCUCAACCUAGGAAUUGCUUUUAAAACUUCUGUUCUGGAAUUCAGGAGAGGAAAAUGGAAUUUCCAGUGUAGAGGUGAAAUUCGUAGAUAUUGGAAGGAACACCAGUGGCGAAGGCGAUUUUCUGGACUGAUAUUGACGCUGAGAUGCGAAGGCAUGGGUAGCAAACGGGAUUAGAUA
rnacentral:rRNA from 1 species